CAGUAGCCGCGGUAAUACGAAGGGUGCAAGCGUUACUCGGAAUUACUGGGCGUAAAGCGUGCGUAGGUGGUGGUUUAAGUCCGUUGUGAAAGCCCUGGGCUCAACCUGGGAAUUGCAGUGGAUACUGGGUCACUAGAGUGUGGUAGAGGAUAGUGGAAUUUCCGGUGUAGCAGUGAAAUGCGUAGAGAUCGGAAGGAACAUCUGUGGCGAAGGCGACUAUCUGGGCCAACACUGACACUGAGGCACGAAAGCGUGGGGAGCAAACAGGAUUAGAUACCCGAGUAGUCCCUGUCUCUUAUAU
rnacentral:rRNA from 1 species